UACGAGGGGGGCGAGCGUUGUUCGGAAUUAUUGGGCGUAAAGGGUGCGUAGGCGGUUUGGUAAGUCUGAUGUGAAAUCUAUGGGCUCAACUCAUAGUCUGCAUCGGAAACUGCCGGGCUUGAGUGUGGGAGAGGUGAGUGGAAUUCCUGGUGUAGCAGUGAAAUGCGUAGAUAUCAGGAGGAACACCGAUGGCGAAGGCAGGUCUCUGGGCUGACACUGACGCUCAUGCACGAAAGCGUGGGGAGCAAACAGG
rnacentral:rRNA from 1 species